UACGGAGGGGGCUAGCGUUGUUCGGAAUUACUGGGCGUAAAGCGCACGUAGGCGGCUUUGUAAAUUAGAGGUGAAAGCCCAGGGCUCAACCCUGGAAUUGCCUUUAAGACUGCAUCGCUUGAACAUCGGAGAGGUAAGUGGAAUUCCGAGUGUAGAGGUGAAAUUCGUAGAUAUUCGGAAGAACACCAGUGGCGAAGGCGACUUACUGGACGAUUGUUGACGCUGAGGUGCGAAAGCGUGGGGAGCAAACAGG
rnacentral:rRNA from 1 species